rnacentral:rRNA from 1 species
GAUCAUGGCUCAGGAUGAACGCUGGCGGCGUGCUUAACACAUGCAAGUCGAACGGAACUACUUUGAUGAGAUUCUUCGGAAAGGAUUUGAUUUAGUUUAGUGGCGGACGGGUGAGUAACGCGUGGGUAACCUGCCUCAUACAGGGGGAUAACAGUUGGAAACGACUGCUAAUACCGCAUAAGCGCACAGGAUCGCAUGAUCCGGUGUGAAAAACUCCGGUGGUAUGGGAUGGACCCGCGU